UGGGGAAUUUUGGGCAAUGGGCGAAAGCCUGACCCAGCAACGCCGCGUGAAGGAUGAAGUAUUUCGGUAUGUAAACUUCGUAAGAAUAGGAAGAAUAAAUGACGGUACUAUUUGUAAGGUCCGGCUAACUACGUGCCAGCAGCCGCGGUAAUACGUAGGGACCAAGCGUUGUUCGGAUUUACUGGGCGUAAAGCGCACGUAGGCGGAUUGAUAAGUUAGAGGUGAAAUCCCGGGGCUCAACCUCGGAACUGCCUUUGAUACUGUUAGUCUCGAGUCCGAUAGAGGUGAGUGGAAUUCCUAGUGUAGAGGUGAAAUUCGUAGAUAUUAGGAAGAACACCAGUGGCGAAGGCGGCUCACUGGAUCGGUACUGACGCUGAGGUGCGAAAGCGUGGGGAGCAAACAGGAUUAGAUACCCUAGUAGUCCCUGAGCGGGCUGGCAAGGCGCAU
rnacentral:rRNA from 1 species